UGGCGAACGGGUGAGUAACGCGUGAGGAACCUGCCUCAAAGAGGGGGACAACAGUUGGAAACGACUGCUAAUACCGCAUAAGCCCACGGGUCGGCAUCGACCUGAGGGAAAAGGAGCAAUCCGCUUUGAGAUGGCCUCGCGUCCGAUUAGCUAGUUGGUGAGGUAACGGCCCACCAAGGCGACGAUCGGUAGCCGGACUGGGAGGUUGAACGGCCACAUUGGAACUGAGACACGGCCCAG
rnacentral:rRNA from 1 species